CCUACGGGUGGCAGCAGUGGGGAAUAUUGGACAAUGGGCGAAAGCCUGAUCCAGCCAUGCCGCGUGUGUGAAGAAGGCCUUCGGGUUGUAAAGCACUUUCAGUGGGGAAGAAAGCCUUGGGGCUAAUACCCUCGAGGAAGGACAUCACCCACAGAAGAAGCACCGGCUAACUCCGUGCCAGCAGCCGCGGUAAUACGGAGGGUGCGAGCGUUAAUCGGAAUUACUGGGCGUAAAGCGCGCGUAGGCGGUCUGAUAAGCCGGUUGUGAAAGCCCCGGGCUCAACCUGGGAACGGCAUCCGGAACUGUCAGGCUAGAGGGCAGGAGAGGAAGGUAGAAUUCCCGGUGUAGGAGUGAAAUGCGUAGAGAUCGGGAGGAAUACCAGUGGCGAAGGCGGCCUUCUGGACUGACACUGACGCUGAGGUGCGAAAGCGUGGGUAGCAAACAGGAUUAGAUACCCGAGUAGUC
rnacentral:rRNA from 1 species